rnacentral:rRNA from 1 species
CCCCUAGAUGUUCUGGGCCGCACGCGCGCUACACUGAACAGUUCAACAAGUCUUAACCUUGGCCGAUAGGUCUGGGUAAUCUUUGAACGCUGUUCGUGAUUGGGAUAGACCUUUGCAAUUAUGGGUCUUCAACGAGGAAUUCCUAGUAAACGCAAGUCAUCAGCUUGCAUUGAUUACGUCCCUGCCCUUUGUACACACCGCCCGUCGCUCCUACCGAUUGAAUGGUCCGGUGAAGCGUUCGGACCGUGGCCUUUGGACGGUUCGCCGUCUGUUGGCUGCGGGAAGUUCGUUAAACCUUNUNAUUUAUNGGAAGGAGAANUCGUANCA